AACGUAGACGAAAGCUACGCUAAUACCGCAUACGAUCUAUGGAUGAAAGCGGGGGAUCGCAAGACCUCGCGCGAUUGGAGCGGCCGAUAUCAGAUUAGGUAGUUUGGGUGAGGUAAAAGGGCUCACCAAGCCGACGAUCUGUAGCUGGUCUGAGAGGACGACCAGCCACACUGGGACUGAGACACGGCCCAGACUCCUACGGGAGGCAGCAGGUGGGAAUUUUGGACAAUGGGCGCAAGCCUGAUCCAGCAAUGCCGCGUGCAGGAUGAAGGCCUUCGGGUUGUAAACUGCUUUUGUACGGAACGAAACGGUGAGCUCUAAUACAGUUUGCUAAUGACGGUACCGUAAGAAUAAGCACCGGCUAACUACGUG
rnacentral:rRNA from 1 species